AUUCUUUGCUUUUUUUUUUUUGACUUAAAACCGUGAUAGUGUUACCAAGAUUUAAAUUUACGUCUAUCUGAGGUAUUUGAUAAUCAGAAGUAGGCGUUUAUUAAAUUGUUUAUAUAUUGGCAACCUUGUAGUUACUAAAGUUUUGCGUUUUUACUUUCAACCAAUGAAAAUUACGGUGUACGCAGAGAAAUUAGAUAAAAUAAAGUGAGUGGCUAUAUCUGAUGUUCUAAAACAUCAAAGAAAAAGAAAACAUGCUACAAAAUAUUAUCGACUUUUGCAAUUACUGGUGGUUUCGCUAUUUGAUGGUAACCGAGCUUUACAUGGUUGAAAAAUGGGAGAGAAUAACUAUACAUGUUAUAUUCGCUGUACUUUUUGGACUCUUUUGGUACUUUAAUUAUUCUGUAUUGCUUUCAUUUACGGGCAGUCUAUUAGGCAUAACACCGGUAUCUAAUAUUGUGGAGCCACAAGGCAGUAAAAUAAUAUAACAAAGAGGCGUUACACUAUCAGCAAAAGCAUUAACUAUAAAAUCAUUUAUCUCUGUAAAAACACAAUUUCCCAAAGCACCAAAAGCCUCUUGGGGACAAAAGUACAUUGACAUCUUAUGUUGUAUCCCGCAAACGAAAGCACUGCGGCCCACCUAAAUGGCUUUUUAUAUGUAUAAAAAAGAAAGGAUUUUUACAAAAAGUGAAAUAUAAUCAUUUUCUUCUUUUACAACAACUAAAAUAUUGAUCUCUAAGAUCAUCAUAUAUCUUCAAUUAAUUUAUGUAAAUAUAAUUUAACAAAUAAAGGAAAGAAUGCCUUAUUUUAUUUUACUAUCAUUACCAUAUAAAAUUAUUUUAGACGAUUUAGUUUACAUGGUAUAGAAAACAUUCGCAAUUUUCAUGCCAAAACAUAUGCAUUGGCCAAAAUUACCUCUUUAUUUAUAAGAUCUAAAAGCAAAAGGAACGUAUUUAUAUCCAGCGUAAAAUCGCAAGUCAAUGGAAUCAUGCAUGCCUGCAGCGUGCCGCAUCAGAAGCUCACGCAAUCAGUAUUGAUAUAAGAACCUGAGAUCGUAUAUAUUCACUUGAUUACCACAAAUCAACAUUCGAAACGGGCUUGACCAGCAUACAGUAGCAAAAAACUACAGCCAGGGAGGCAGAGUUUUUAUCUAAAUCUGACUUCAAAUAUUCAUCAGUGCAGUCGGAAAGUUGCUAAGUUGUUCCCUAAAAUUACAAUUAUAUUUCUGGUAGAAAAAUGUUUUAUGUCUAAAAGACUGACAACUUAUUGUGGCGUACAACAUUUGAUUUUCUUGAAGAACGGCGCUGUUCUUUUAUCUCCUUUGGGGAUUUUAGAUCGAGUUUUCAGUAUAUUGCUUUGUUCAAAAAAUAUGUCAAAUUUAAUUUUAUUUUUUUUUAAAUUCGUUUAUUAUUCCAAAUCCAUUAUGUCGCCUUCAAAGUAAUUCCCCUCAGACACUAAAUAUUUGAGCCAACGUUUCUCCCAAUCAUCAAAACGUCGUGAUAUUCGAUUUCCAGAAUAGCCUUCAAAGCUUCUUGCGAUUCUUGUAUCUAUUCAAUCGCGUUAAAAUGCUGUGCCUUUUGCGAAAAGCUUCAAGCAAAUGAUCCACAAAAUUAAAAUAAUAUUCCAUGUUAACAGUUUGGGCCGGCGGAAGGAACUCGUAGCGCACAACGCAAUGGUAAUCGAAAAAAACUGUCGACGUCACUUCGACUUUGCCGCGGUGUCGUCGGUUUCGACCCACGUUUUGCACGAUAUUUCAAUAAUUGUUAAUCGACGGCUUUUGAGCACCGAAUCCUUGGUUAAUGGUCGCCCGGGAUGCUCUUCGUUUUCAAUCAGUUCUCGGUCUCCUUUGAAAUGUUUAGAUCACUUGUAAACAUUUCUUUUUGACAAAGUCUGCUCAUUACGGGUUCUUUGCAACAUACUAAAAAUGCUAAAAGUUUUGUCACAAGAAAUUCCAUUUCGCAAACAGAAUUUAAUGCACCUUCUCAAGCGAACCGAUAAUAAAAUUGCAGCUGCUGAGAUCAAAUUUACAUUAAUAUUGAUUAUAAAACAAGCAAAGCUAACAAAAAUCUUUCUUUUAGAGUUGCAUUUGCGGAAAGAUAUAAACAGCUGUUAGGAAGUGACUUAUUAAUUCAAAACACUGAAAAAGGUGAAAUAAAUUAAAAUGCGUCCGAAAUUACAUAUGUAAAUUGUGAAUGAAGAGAAAACAUAUAUGAGUAAAAAAGUACCAUUGUGUACAUUUCCAGCAUAAUGUUUCGUAACUUCCUCUGGUACUCGUUCUUUGAAGAGGAGAACAAGGACAUCCGCAACGCAAAAGAAAGGAUAACUAAGAGACAGGCGAGAAAAGAUAUACGGGAUGCAACUGACCACCUAGCGCUACCUCAAAACCAUUUUAUGCAUAAGUUCCGCGUUUCCAAAGUGGCUUUUUCUUACGUCCUGGAUAAAAUUGGUAUGACUGAUGGUAUAAUAUAUACCGGUGGUGUUGAACUUAAUCGUGAUUUAUUGACUUCAGGAGGUUAUCAAUGCCUGGUCUGCAGCGAUCAAACGGUAAAUACUGUGCAGAGCAGCUUACCAACCGUUGUACC